rnacentral:lncRNA from 1 species
ACAAGUCAGAAGUGGGCGGUGGAUUCCCUGGGACUGGAGUUACAGAGAUGGAACUCCGUGCAGACAGGAGUCUGAAGGCUGAGGGAUCAUUCAGUCAUCGCAGUGGAAUUCAGUGCAUGGGGACAGCUGAGAGAAGAAGGUGAGGACUUAGGGAAGAAAUGUUCCAGAAUCUUCUGUGAAGCAUAAUUUCAACUCUGUUACCUUAAAA